UUACCUACGGGAGGCAGCAGUGGGGAAUAUUGCACAAUGGGGGGAACCCUGAUGCAGCGACGCCGCGUGAGUGAAGAAGUAUUUCGGUAUGUAAAGCCCUAUCAGCAGGGAAGAAGAAAUGACGGUACCUGAGUAAGAAGCACCGGCUAACUACGUGCCAGCAGCCGCGGUAAUACGUAGGGGGCAAGCGUUAUCCGGAUUUACUGGGUGUAAAGGGGGCGCAGACGGCGAUGCAAGCCAGAAGUGAAAGCCCGGGGCCCAACCCCGGGACUGCUCUUGGAACUGCGUGGCUGGAGUGCAGGAGG
rnacentral:rRNA from 1 species